UUAAGCCAAACAGCUGAACGUGGUCUUUCAGUAUGUAUGUAUGACUUAUAUAAAUAUAUCGAUAUAUAAAUUGAACGAUAUAUCACAACCAUAGAUAUAAUAUUAUUACGAUUUGUAAAACCGGAACACAAUACUAAGCCUUCUCGUCCUUCUACUCCUAUGAAGAGAAGCCCGCAGGCUUCCGGGACCCCUCCAGGACACAACCGGGAUACCUGAGUAUAGGGGGAAGUCCCCUAGCGCCGAACGGCAGGUAGUACCGAACGAAUGCGGUACCUUUAAAAAUAAGCAAACGAAAGCGGUCAUUUGUGGUGAGAAAGCAAGAGACAAAGCUAGAUAAGCCGCGGGCGGCGCUGCAGCAGUCAGUUAUGCUCAGAGCGGCCGUGAGAAGAGAUGCAUUCAUUUUGCGCGGGAACGUGACGUAUCAUGUACAUAAGAAAAUACCGGUUCUUACAAGAUUUACGAGUGGAGACAUUCCUAUUAGAGUUUAAGUUGUCUUUGAUAAUCUUAUAUAUUAAUAAUGGUGAGGGCGAAAAAAGGUCGUUCAUCAUUCAAAACUCCAGCCUUUGGACAGGUCGUUCAUGAAACCCUUUAAGAAUGCCUAUAAUGAACAAUGUGGGAUGUGGAUAAGAGCUUAUUCAGGGGCUAGAAUUACUGAAUUCGAUAUUGCUGGACUUGUU